rnacentral:rRNA from 1 species
AAAAUACGGGAGGCAGCAGUGGGGAAUAUUGCACAAUGGGCGCAAGCCUGAUGCAGCGACGCCGCGUGAGGGAUGGAGGCCUUCGGGUUGUGAACCUCUUUCGCCAGUGAAGCAGGCCUGCUCCUUUUUUUGUGGGUGGGUUGACGGUAGCUGGAUAAGAAGCGCCGGCUAACUACGUGCCAGCAGCCGCGGUAAUUUUU